rnacentral:lncRNA from 1 species
GCUAUUUCAGCUGCAUAAUUUUUAAAAAAUCUAGUAAGUAUUAUUUUUAAAAUAUUAAGUGUGAGUAGAUCUGUAUAUAUUAGUAUGGAAACAUGUUUAUGACAUAUUUGAAGCUGAAGAAAGACUAGCAUGAUCCCAUUUCUGUUCUUUACAAACCAGCCCACAAAGGGCCGUAUUCAUGUGGAGGAUAGACACACCGAACCAUAAACAGUGAUUACAGCCGGGGAGCUGGAGGGAAGAGCUUUCGCUUUUCUACGUACACUUGUCUUUUCUUUUUCCAUUUUUUUUUAAACGAGUCAGUAUACUUUUGCAAUUAAUUUUAUAUCAGAAAGAAUUCCACUUUAUGCUUCAGGGCAACGUUCCACUUCCCCAACCAUUUCUGAACACUCAGACCAUUCAGUCCCACUGACAGGUCGGCGGGGCAGCAUUGAGGGCGCCCCUCCCAGACUGGCCUGUGUGUUCUGCACUGCCUGGAACAGAGCAGCUCUUUAAGCUCUCAACCGGCUGUAAACAACACCUGCCGAAAAAAGCUCUUAAGACACAAAGGAAUCAUGGAAAGAGAGCGCUGGAGAUAACCUCCUUUUUCCAGUUGGUCUGCAGUGAGAUCCACCCCACCGUUGCACGUUGGGUGAGUCAACUCAACCGGAGGUCCUAUCUGCUCCCUCACCCCCACCGCCCCAGCCCUCGCACCACGCCCCCAUUCAAAGGGCCUGGUGCUCUGAAAAGUACGCUGACCCACCAGCUUUCUUCUCUUUCUGUACAUCUCUGAUUUCAACUUAGAAACACAUUUUUUAUACUCCACAGCUUGCUUCUUAGUUCCAAGAAGUGCUCCCUGCAAGUCUGCUAGGUCUUGCAGAGGCUUUCCCUGGCCCCCGGGACCCCGGCUGAGCUUGACUCCUGGGUGGGCGCCCACCAGGCCCUCUCUACACAGCUCCGGAGCUGAUCCUAUGCCUCUAUCUGUGUGGGCCCCAGAGCAGAGCGCAGCAGGAAGCAACACCUUCUGCUGCAGGUCACACUCACUCCACGGGGGCAGGGUGAUUCAAUACGUGAAAGCAAAAUGUAUGUUCUUCAUCAACAGAUGAGUGGAGAGACAAAGGGAGGGGGUGAUGGACUAUUACUCAGCCUUAAAAAGGAAAGGAAUUCAGACACAUGCCGCAACACAGACAGAUGAACCCUGAAAAAUUGUCAGGGCCUGAGGCGGGAGAACAGGGAGUGUGUUUAACGGGUGCAGGGUUUCAACUUGAUAACGUGCUGGAGGUGGAGAGCAGGUGCACGAGACCGCGAAUGCACUUAAUGCCACUGGACUGGACACCAAAAAUGGUCACAAUGGCAAAUGUUAUUUCUGUGUAUUCUACCACAACAAAAUAAACAGUUGUUGAGAAAACCUGUGCUUAGGAGCUCCUCUGUGGCACACAGGAUCUGUUGUCGUCACCGCAGCAGCUCGGGUUGCUGCUGUGGCUCAGGUUUGAUCCCUGACUCAAGAACUUCCACAUGCCGUGGGCGUGGUCAAAAGCAAAAGACAAAAACACCUGUAUUUAAAGUUGUGAAAACUUAUUUAAAAAAAAAAAAAAAGGAGGAAAAAGGGAAAAAAAAAGAAAUUAACAGGGGCUAGGCAAGAAUCAUGGGAGGG